AGAUGUUAUCACACUUUCCUUACCAGACCUUACCAAUCUCCUUGCACAGCAAGCAGGAGCUUCAUCCAGAGUAGACAUCCUGGAUAAGACACAAGAAGGCAAAAAGGGUGCAGCAGCAAGGAGCCAUCUUGGAAGCAGAGAGCAGCCCUCACCAGCGUGCAACCUUCUGGUGCCCUGAUCUUCGAGUUCCCAGCCUCCAGAACACUUUGCAAAUAUGUGCUUUUGACAUCAGUGUACAGUUUGGCAUCUGCUUUGGAAAUAUUCUUGCAAAUAAGGCAGAAAAGACAUCUUUUGUGAAAGGGUCUUUGAUGGAGCCCGAAUUUGCUGCAAAAAUACGAAGAGCUAGACUUGGCAAUCCAGACCUGGGAGUCAGCUCCAUAAGGGUUACUUCACUGCAGCCUGCAGGGAAGAAAAUCAAAGUUGAGAAAUUCACCGGAGUAUUUCUUACAAAGAGCAGAGCCAACUCUUGAAUCCAUAUCAACGUAUUGUCCUUUCCUGUUUCCACUGUAUUGGUAACACAUGUUUUCUCUUUUACUGUUUCUAAAAAUAAAUUACUAAUUCAAUAAACUCAAUCACUUUUCAAAAAGUGGGAAUGCAUUUCUGUUCCAAGCU